CCUGCCGGAGGCUAUUGCUAUCAGGGUUUGACUAAGCCAUGCGAGUCGAGAGGUGUAAGACCUCGGCAUACUGCUCAGUAACACGUGGAUAAUCUGCCCUCAGGUGAGGAAUAAUCCCGGGAAACUGGGGCUAAUGCCUCAUAGGAGACGGGUGCUGGAAUGCUCUGUCUCCCAAAGGUCCGCCGCCUGAGGAUGAGUCUGCGUCCGAUUAGGUUGUUGUUGGGGUAACGGCCCAACAAGCCAUUGAUCGGUACGGGUUGUGGGAGCAAGAGCCCGGAGAUGGAUUCUGAGACAUGAAUCCAGGCCCUACGGGGCGCAGCAGGCGCGAAAACUUUACAAUGCGAGCAAUCGUGAUAAGGAAACCCUGAGUGCCUGUCAAUGCAGGCUGUUCUGGUGUCUAACACGCACCAGGAGAAAGGGCGGGGCAAGACCGGUGCCAGCCGCCGCGGUAAUACCGGCUGCUCGAGUGAUAGCCGCUUUUACUGGGCUUAAAGCGUUCGUAGCUUGGUUGUCAAGUCUCUGGGGAAAUCUUCUGGCUUAACCAGAAGGCGUCUCAGGGAAACUGGCGACCUAGGAACCGGGAGAGGUGAGACGUACUUCGGGGGUAGGAGUGAAAUCUUGUAAUCCCCG
rnacentral:rRNA from 1 species